GGACUACCGGGGUAUCUAAUCCUGUUUGCUACCCACGCUUUCGCGCAUUAGCGUCAGUCACCGUCCAGGUUGUCGCCUUCGCCACAGGUGUUCCUCCUGAUAUCUACGAAUUUCACCUCUACACCAGGAAUUCCACAACCCUCUCCAGGACUCAAGUCAAGCAGUAUCAAACGCACUUCCCCGGUUGAGCCGGGGGCUUUCACGUCUGACUUACCAAACCGCCUACGCGCCCUUUACGCCCAGUAAUUCCGAACAACGCUUGCACCCCCCGUAUUACCGCGGCGGCUGGCAC
rnacentral:rRNA from 1 species